rnacentral:rRNA from 1 species
UACGUAGGUGGCGAGCGUUGUCCGGAUUUACUGGGCGUAAAGAGCGCGCAGGCGGUCGAUUUAGUCGUGUGUGAAAGCCCCCGGCUCAACUGGGGAGGGUCACGCGAUACUGAUCGACUCGAAGGCAGGAGAGGGUAGUGAAAUUCCCGGUGUAGUGGUGAAAUGCGUAGAUAUCGGGAGGAACACCAGUGGCGAAGGCGACUACCUGGCCUGUUCUUGACGCUGAGGCGCGAAAGCUAGGGGAGCAAACGGG